rnacentral:rRNA from 1 species
UGCGUAGGUGGCAUGGUAAGUCGGAUGUGAAAUCUCCGAGCUCAACUCGGAAAUGGCAUUGGAAACUGCCGUGCUCGAGGGUUGGAGGGGGGACUGGAAUACUUGGUGUAGCAGUGAAAUGCGUAGAUAUCAAGUGGAACACCAGUGGCGAAGGCGAGUCCCUGGACAACUCCUGACACUGAGGCACGAAAGCUAGGGGAGCAAACAGGAUUAGAUACCCUGGUAGUCCUAGCCGUAAACGGUGCACGUUUGCUGUAAAAGGAAUCGACCCCUUUUGUGGCGUAGCCAACGCGUUAAACGUGCCGCCUGGGAAGUACGGUCGCAAGAUUAAA